CUCCUUUUCAUCACAGUUGAUCAGCAAUGGCCGAGAAUGACCAUGAGCUCUUGGAUUAUGAAGUAGAGAACCAGACUACUGGGGAAUGGGCUGAUCAGCCUGCUAAAGAUGUGAAAGGCUCUUUUGUAUCUAGUCACAGCUCAGGCUUCGGGGACUUUCUGCUUAAACUAGAACUUCUCCAGGCUGACACUCUGCUUAAACCAGAACUACUCCAGGCUUUGACUGGCUUUGAACAUCCGUCUGAAGUUUACAGGAAUGUUUCUGCAGAAGCUUUCCAUCUUAAACAUGAAACUCAAAGAAACCUGUCCCAUUGGAAGUGAGAAGGGGUCUAAGUGAAAUGGGCCCAGGUUAAUCUGAAAUGUGGUGUAAAAGAGCAGCGUGACUUCUAAGUCAGAAGGCAUGUUUUAAUUGGUGAAUCUGAAAUGUGUUGUAAAAGACCAACAUUGCCAAAAGCCAGAAGGCAUGUUUUAAGUGGUAAAGAAUGGGAUUGUCCUGGUGUAGAGUAGAUCUUAGGUG